AUCACUUCAAUACUUAUUAAUAGUAAUGUUAUUUAUAUUUCAAGUUACAAAAUAAAAUGUUAUUUAUAUUUUGUUGUGUGCUAUGGUUGUAUCAUGUUUUUUUCCUUGUUAUGGAAUAAACAAAUGUUAGCGUGAUCGAUGAUAUAUCAUCGAGGUGCUUCUACUUAUUCUUGCUCACCUCUCUCCUUUUCCUCUGUUCUCUCUCUAUGAUCUUUUACAGAGGAAAAGUUGUAGAGAAGGAAUCCAUCUCAUCGCCACGAUGAUUUGAAGAUCUUUUUCUUUUUCUUCUUUUCUUCUUUAAAAUCUUUCACAUGGGAAAUAGGAUGAGAUGAAUCUUCUUGUCCUCGCCGGUGGUGUUCUGAAUUUUGACUCCGGCGUCGCAUCUGUCCCUCCGAUAGUCGUCCGGCCUCUGCCUCCGGUGCUCUCCCUUUCUGUUGGUGAUGAGCAUCCGGCUUCCGACUCCGCAUCACAUCUUUCAAUCGUGAGUGCUCGAGUUGUGUCACGUUUCGUUGUAGUGUAUGGUGGCCUGAGUUUGGAUGAAAUCACGAUUUCAUUUGAUUGACGUUCUUCGAAGCUCAGGCGGUUAAGUGGUGGAUCAUGAAUCUCCUAUACCUCCAAUACAGUCGUUGGAGGUGGUUUUCAGUGGUCGUGGUUAAUUCCCGGUGUUUUUCCGAUGGUCAAGUGAUUUGAAUGGUCCGGUGACGAUUUUAUAUCGUUAACUUCCGGUGAAGGCUCGUGAUUCCGGUGUGAUUCCGGUGGAAGUCCCGGCGGCAGUUUCGGUGAAGUUGGUGGCGUGUCCAGUCCACGCGUCUCCUUUCUGUGUGUUUCGUGUUUCAAGCGGUUGAGAAUGAGUCCUUUUCAUUCUUUUUUUUGGGCUUGUAUAUGUUGUUUGGGUCCCGUCUUUUGGUCUUUUAUGUAUCACAUGUGUCUUUGUUGGUUUUUUUAGGUCUUUAAUAAAAUGAGAAAAAAAAAAUAUAUCGUCGAGGUGCUUCACUACCACGAACUUUCUUAGAAAUUGUGAACAACAUAUCGGGACCGUGCGAUUGAAUUGAUUUAUGUUGGCAAGAACAUAUAAUUGUUUUAUAAUUAAAAACAAGUUUGGUUUCCAAUAUGUUGUUUAGUGUCC
rnacentral:lncRNA from 1 species